UACGUAGGCAGCGAGCGUUGUUCGGAAUUACUGGGCGUAAAGAGUGUGUAGGACGGUGCUCUAAGUUCGGUGUGAAAUCUCCCGCUUAACUGGGAGGGUGCGCCGGAAACUGGAGUGCUCGAGCGUGGGAGAGGAAAGCGGAAUUCCUGGUGUAGCGGUGAAAUGCGUAGAUAUCAGGAGGAACACCUGCGGUGUAGACGGCUUUCUGGACCAUUGCUGACGCUGAGACACGAAAGCGUGGGUAGCAAACAGG
rnacentral:rRNA from 1 species